GACGAACGCUGGCGGCGUGCCUAAUACAUGCAAGUCGAACGAACUCUGGUAUUGAUUGGUGCUUGCAUCAUGAUUUACAUUUGAGUGAGUGGCGAACUGGUGAGUAACACGUGGGAAACCUGCCCAGAAGCGGGGGAUAACACCUGGAAACAGAUGCUAAUACCGCAUAACAACUUGGACCGCAUGGUCCGAGUUUGAAAGAUGGCUUCGGCUAUCACUUUUGGAUGGUCCCGCGGCGUAUUAGCUAGAUGGUGGGGUAACGGCUCACCAUGGCAAUGAUACGUAGCCGACCUGAGAGGGUAAUCGGCCACAUUGGGACUGAGACACGGCCCAAACUCCUACGGGAGGCAGCAGUAGGGAAUCUUCCACAAUGGACGAAAGUCUGAUGGAGCAACGCCGCGUGAGUGAAGAAGGGUUUCGGCUCGUAAAACUCUGUUGUUAAAGAAGAACAUAUCUGAGAGUAACUGUUCAGGUAUUGACGGUAUUUAACCAGAAAGCCACGGCUAACUACGUGCCAGCAGCCGCGGUAAUACGUAGGUGGCAAGCGUUGUCCGGAUUUAUUGGGCGUAAAGCGAGCGCAGGCGGUUUUUUAAGUCUGAUGUGAAAGCCUUCGGCUCAACCGAAGAAGUGCAUCGGAAACUGGGAAACUUGAGUGCAGAAGAGGACAGUGGAACUCCAUGUGUAGCGGUGAAAUGCGUAGAUAUAUGGAAGAACACCAGUGGCGAAGGCGGCUGUCUGGUCUGUAACUGACGCUGAGGCUCGAAAGUAUGGGUAGCAAACAGGAUUGGAUACCCUGGUAGUCCAUACCGUAAACGAUGAAUGCUAAGUGUUGGAGGGUUUCCGCCCUUCAGUGCUGCAGCUAACGCAUUAAGCAUUCCGCCUGGGGAGUACGGCCGCAAGGCUGAAACUCAAAGGAAUUGACGGGGGCCCGCACAAGCGGUGGAGCAUGUGGUUUAAUUCGAAGCUACGCGAAGAACCUUACCAGGUCUUGACAUACUAUGCAAAUCUAAGAGAUUAGACGUUCCCUUCGGGGACAUGGAUACAGGUGGUGCAUGGUUGUCGUCAGCUCGUGUCGUGAGAUGUUGGGUUAAGUCCCGCAACGAGCGCAACCCUUAUUAUCAGUUGCCAGCAUUAAGUUGGGCACUCUGGUGAGACUGCCGGUGACAAACCGGAGGAAGGUGGGGAUGACGUCAAAUCAUCAUGCCCCUUAUGACCUGGGCUACACACGUGCUACAAUGGAUGGUACAACGAGUUGCGAACUCGCGAGAGUAAGCUAAUCUCUUAAAGCCAUUCUCAGUUCGGAUUGUAGGCUGCAACUCGCCUACAUGAAGUCGGAAUCGCUAGUAAUCGCGGAUCAGCAUGCCGCGGUGAAUACGUUCCCGGGCCUUGUACACACCGCCCGUCACACCAUGAGAGUUUGUAACACCCAAAGUCGGUGGGGUAACCUCUUAGGAACCAGCCGCCUAAGGUGGGACAGAUGAUUAGGGUG
rnacentral:rRNA from 1 species